AUGGUGCUCAUUCACAGCUCGUCGUCCUUGCGGUGCUUCUUCGCCUUGCCGUCGGCUGCCGCGCCGGUGACCUUGUCCUUCACCUCCCCAACCUUCUCCUUCACCUUCUCGUACCCCUGGUUGGCCUUAUCCUUGGCCGCCUCCGCCGUCUCCCAGGCCGUGUCCUUGGCCGCCUCCGCCGUCUCCCAUGCGGCGUCCUUGGCCGACGCCGUCUUCUCCAACGUGGCGUCCUUGGCCGCCCCUGCCUUCUCCCCGACCGUUCCCUUGGCCGCCUCGGCGUUCUUCCACGCGGCGUCCUUGGCGGCCGGGGCCUUCUCCGCAGCGGCGUCCUUGACGUUCGCGGCCUUCUCCGACGCGACGUCGUUGUAUUGCUUCAGCUUCUCCUGCGCCUGCCAUGUGGCGUCCUUGGCAGACUCCGUCUUCUCCCAGGCCGCAUCCUUCGUGGCGCGGGCCUUCUCUGCGGCGGCGUCCUUCGCUGCCGCUGCCUUCUCCGCGGCUGUCUGCUUGGCGGCCCCGGCCUUCUCCGCGGCGGCGUCCUUGGCUGCCGCUGCCGUCUGCGUGGCGCCGGCGGCGGCGUCCUUGGCUGCCGCUGCCGUCUGCGUGGCGCCGGCGGCGGCGUCCUUGGCUGCUGCAGCCUUCUCCGCGGCCGUCUGCGUGGCGCCGCCGGCUUUCUCCGCGGCGGCGUCCUUGGCUGCUGCGGCCUUCUCCGCAGCCGUGUCCUUGGCGGCGCCGGCCUUCUCGGCGGCCGCGUCCUUGGUUUGCUUCAGCGUCUCGUACCCCUGUCCAGCCUUUUCCUUGGCCGCCUCCUCAACCUUAGCCUUGCCCUGCUUCGACCGCUCGUGCGUCUCGGCGCCGGUCUUGGCGGCCGCCUCCGCGGCCUCCUUGGUCUUGUGCUUAGCCUGCUCCGUCUUCUUGGACGCCUCGCCGGCCGUGCCCUUCACCGUCUCCGCCGCCUUGUCCUUGGCCUGCCCCGCCUUGUUGGCGGCCCCGGUCGCCGCCUGCUCCGCCGCCUCCUUGGCGUCCGAAGCCUUGCCGCUCGCCUGCCUCCCCGUCUCUGUACACACAAAUCAGCAUCAGACUCCAGUCACUCUGACCACCCAAGAAACCAACAAUGAACACCACGGACACGUACCGGAGGCGGUGUGCUGGACGGUCUCGCGGGCGGACUUGACGGUCUGGCCGGCCUUGCGCGCGGCCUCCUCCUCGUCGGCGUGGUGCUUGAGCCCGAGCCCCUCGGAGAUCUUGUCCAGGCCGAGGCCCUCGGAGAUCUUGUCCUUGGCCCACCCCGUCCAGGACUCUUCCUCCUUGCCCGGCGCCGUCUCCGCGCCGCCCGGCGUCGUCUUGGCCGUGGCCGCCUCAGCGGCUUCCCGCGUCGUCUUGGCCGACGCGGACGCCGCCAACGCGAGCAGCACCAGCAGCGCCGUCGCCGCGAGCCUCUUCGACAACGCCAUUGAUUGGAGUGAUUGUCCCGAGCUAGAACCUAGUGUGGUCAGCUGCUUGUGUGCUUUGCGUGCUCUGAAUGGAGGACUGCGAUGGAAUCAGUAG
rnacentral:rRNA from 1 species